UGAAGCACUCAAUCCUCUGAGGGUUUACUU
rnacentral:piRNA from 1 species